UACAGAGGGUGCAAGCGUUGUUCGGAAUUAUUGGGCGUAAAGCGCGUGUAGGCGGCUUGGUAAGUCGGGUGUGAAAUCCCUCAGCUCAACUGAGGAAGUGCGCCCGAAACUGCUUUGCUUGAGUGCCGGAGAGGAUGGCGGAAUUCCCCAAGUAGAGGUGAAAUUCGUAGAUAUGGGGAAGAACACCGGUGGCGAAGGCGGCUCUCUGGAACGGUACUGACGCUGAGACGCGAAAGCGUGGGGAGCGAACAGG
rnacentral:rRNA from 1 species